rnacentral:misc_RNA from 1 species
GCAGAAGUGAGCCUGCUCGCGAUAGCUUUCGGUCAGUUACAUCAGAUCGGACUGAUACACCGCUAUCGCGAGCAGGCUCACUCCUAC